rnacentral:lncRNA from 1 species
ACGGUCAGAGAAGAGGAAGCCAUUUUGGGAUGCUAUUAUUUAACGGUGGUUAUUGAAUUCUUGGCCAAUGCUCUUUUUAGUUUGCUUCCUCAAAUCAUCUGGGGUGCAGUUGGGCCAGUUAAUCUUGAAAAUAUCGUCCCACGCCUUCAUUACCGUGCCUAUUCAUUCGUGUUUACAACUGAAGAAUUGCUUUCCUAUGUGAUGAAGGUCCAGAUGAUGACAUUUUGUGGUUUCGCAGAAAAUUGGGAUCCCACAAAGUCUUCAUCAAUUCUCUGACAUAUUUGGUUAAUCCAUAAGACGCUCUUUCAUUGUAUGGUGUAUUCCUGGUUUUUCUUAAGUGGACCUUCCGUUUCAGAAUUUCUUCAUCUACAUUGUGCUGUAGCUUGCUGAGUUCAUUGCGAUCAAAUGCCAAAUGCUUUUGGACCUAAAUCCAGAGAAAAACAAAAAAUUUAUAUAGAGUGUUAUCCAACAAACUGGUUUUAUCAACGGGGUUGAUUGUUUUUAACUUUUUUCCCUAAUAGUGUGUUUUUUCAGUAGGAACAAAAUCAGAGUCACUACUUAGAUCGUUAUCUGCUGCCAGGCUGGUUUCCCUCAGUCUCUUACCCUUUAUAAUGAGAGAGGAGUAUCAGAACUGUUAUCGCUCCAUAUAGAUUUAUAAUGUGAUGUUCCAGGAGCAGUUUCAUCAUCACAGCGUAUCUCAUCAUACUCUGGAUUAUAUUCAUAUGGUGGAGAAAGCGAGUUACUUUGCUUAGAUGAAGAAGAAUCAGUGUCUGAAGAGUCUGAAGACGCAUAUUGUUUUGGUUUGUCCUUUUUGUUUUUUUCUAGCUGUUUAGUCUGAAUCUGUUUAGUUUUUUUAGCAGCUGCCUUCUUUUUGGACUCCCUCAAUUCAUUCACGGCUUGGUCACCUCGUUUCUUCAUAGCCUUUGAAAAAGAAUUCAUUCAUAUACGUCAGCUUCCUUUAUUUUGGAUUCUUUCAGGUUGUUCACGAUUUUUUCACUCUCUCUCACGAGUUGGUCACCUCUUUUCUUCAUAGACUUGAAAAAGAAUUCAUUCAUAUACGUCAGCUUCCUUAAUUUUGGAUUCUUCCAGGUUGUUCACGAUUAUUUCACCUUGUGCCAUCACAUUCUUUGAAAAAGAAUUCAUUCAUUUAAGAAUCUGAUUUUUUCAAGUACAUCUACCUUCAUUUCGGACUCUUUCAAGUCAUUCACUAAUUGUUCAUCUCUUUCCUUUAUAUUCUUUGGAAAGAAAUUCAUUGAUUUACGUCAGCUACCUUCUUUUUGGACUCCCUCAAUUCAUUCACGACUUGGUCACCUCUUUUCUUCAUAGUCUUGAAAAAGAAUUCAUUCAUAUACGUCAGCUUCCUUAAUUCUGGAUUCUUUUAGGUUGUUCACGAUUUUUUCACCUUGUGCCUUCAAAUCCUUUUAAAAAAAAUUGGUUUAAGUUUACUAAUUAACCUAAUCAUUGUUACCUCAUAUUUCGUUUUUAGAUUGAUAGUUAGAUCCCUAAUCUUACUAUCCCUCAACUGUAAUAAAGCAUUCAAGUUUACAAUAGUCAUUUCCAGGUUGACUAUCUUCGUCGUUGCAUCAUUUAGAUUCUUCAAAGUAUCUUCGCUUACUUUCUAUAAGUAUUGGCAUCAUUCAGGAUCUUUAAAUCAUCUUCGUGCAUUUGCUUUGAGAUUUUAGAUCUGCUAAUUGGGUUUUCAGAGAUGGAAGUUUUUCUUUUGUCGCUGGUGGUAGACUUGGGGCCAGUUCAGCGUGAGAUGAAUUUGAUCUUGUCACUCUUUUUCCGUUAUCCAUUUUAAUACCAAACUAUUUUAACCUUCACUUCAAAAUCUUAAGACACUUAGACUUAUUAAACUUUCCUUUGAGACCAAAAUUGAAAAGAAUUAGAGAUAGACGCUCUUUGACUCCUACAGUCCUACUAAACUUCAGGGCUACUGCCUAUUACCGCAUUUGGCCUAUUGCCGCCUUGCCGCAUUUGGCCUAUUGCCGGCUUGCCGCAUUUGGGCUAGUAAAAAUUCUUCAUGUAGCUAGCAAAGGCUUUAUUAUCCCACCCUCCAUGAGUACCAUACUAACUAGUAAAGUCCUCUUGUCAUCACAAGCUAAACUCCUGUCUAAUGGGCUAGUAAAGAUUUUUACGUAGAUAGUAAAUCUUGAAACAAUUGAAAUUAUUGAAGCUACUAUUGCAUUAUGGCAGAUGUUUAUUUUCAUCAAGAUUACUGUCAACUUUUAAUUAAUCCUUCUUUUACUUGCUUGUUUACCAUUGGAUGAGAGGUUUGCUUCGUAAAGUGUACUAGUAGAUGUUGAUUGGGGCACAUAUCCAUCAGCAUUCAUUUUGGCUGCUACUUUCAUGAAUUUUUUGAACCCAUCUAGUCUUUUCCACUUUUGGCGCAACAUGUAUGUGGCCAUAUGGCCUAGCAUGUGGUGUGGUGAUCUAGAUUUAGGAAUAUCCAUUUUGACUAAAUUCCACAAACCUUUUUCAUAUAAUUGUUGUUUUUAGGCUAAAAUAAUUAUAGGUUACGUAACAGUUACUCACCUUCCACUGUAUUUGUAUGAGCUCCUGUUAUGGGAUCCUUAAAAUUCUUCGAGUGAUUAACAGUUUGAUGCUGGUAGUCUCUGUUCAUAUCCCUUGUAAAGUUUUUACACAAUUAAGAAAAAAUACACAAAGUAAUGAAUUUCA